rnacentral:rRNA from 1 species
UACGAAGGGGGCUAGCGUUGCUCGGAAUUACUGGGCGUAAAGCGCACGUAGGCGGUCUUUUAAGUCAGGGGUGAAAUCCUGGAGCUCAACUCCAGAACUGCCUUUGAUACUGAAGAUCUUGAGUUCGGGAGAGGUGAGUGGAACUGCGAGUGUAGAGGUGAAAUUCGUAGAUAUUCGCAAGAACACCAGUGGCGAAGGCGGCUCACUGGCCCGAUACUGACGCUGAUGCACGAAAAGCGUGGGGAGCAAACAGG